rnacentral:rRNA from 1 species
UGCAGUCGAGCGGUAGCACAGAGAGCUUGCUCUCGGGUGACGAGCGGCGGACGGGUGAGUAAUGUCUGGGAAACUGCCUGAUGGAGGGGGAUAACUACUGGAAACGGUAGCUAAUACCGCAUAACGUCGCAAGACCAAAGUGGGGGACCUUCGGGCCUCAUGCCAUCAGAUGUGCCCAGAUGGGAUUAGCUAGUAGGUGGGGUAAUGGCUCACCUAGGCGACGAUCCCUAGCUGGUCUGAGAGGAUGACCAGCCACACUGGAACUGAGACACGGUCCAGACUCCUACGGGAGGCAGCAGUGGGGAAUAUUGCACAAUGGGCGCAAGCCUGAUGCAGCCAUGCCGCGUGUAUGAAGAAGGCCUUCGGGUUGUAAAGUACUUUCAGCGAGGAGGAAGGCAUUAAGGUUAAUAACCUUGGUGAUUGACGUUACUCGCAGAAGAAGCACCGGCUAACUCCGUGCCAGCAGCCGCGGUAAUACGGAGGGUGCAAGCGUUAAUCGGAAUUACUGGGCGUAAAGCGCACGCAGGCGGUCUGUCAAGUCGGAUGUGAAAUCCCCGGGCUCAACCUGGGAACUGCAUUCGAAACUGGCAGGCUAGAGUCUUGUAGAGGGGGGUAGAAUUCCAGGUGUAGCGGUGAAAUGCGUAGAGAUCUGGAGGAAUACCGGUGGCGAAGGCGGCCCCCUGGACAAAGACUGACGCUCAGGUGCGAAAGCGUGGGGAGCAAACAGGAUUAGAUACCCUGGUAGUCCACGCCGUAAACGAUGUCGACUUGGAGGUUGUGCCCUUGAGGCGUGGCUUCCGGAGCUAACGCGUUAAGUCGACCGCCUGGGGAGUACGGCCGCAAGGUUAAAACUCAAAUGAAUUGACGGGGGCCCGCACAAGCGGUGGAGCAUGUGGUUUAAUUCGAUGCAACGCGAAGAACCUUACCUACUCUUGACAUCCAGAGAACUUAGCAGAGAUGCUUUGGUGCCUUCGGGAACUCUGAGACAGGUGCUGCAUGGCUGUCGUCAGCUCGUGUUGUGAAAUGUUGGGUUAAGUCCCGCAACGAGCGCAACCCUUAUCCUUUGUUGCCAGCGGUUCGGCCGGGAACUCAAAGGAGACUGCCAGUGAUAAACUGGAGGAAGGUGGGGAUGACGUCAAGUCAUCAUGGCCCUUACGAGUAGGGCUACACACGUGCUACAAUGGCAUAUACAAAGAGAAGCGACCUCGCGAGAGCAAGCGGACCUCAUAAAGUAUGUCGUAGUCCGGAUUGGAGUCUGCAACUCGACUCCAUGAAGUCGGAAUCGCUAGUAAUCGUAGAUCAGAAUGCUACGGUGAAUACGUUCCCGGGCCUUGUACACACCGCCCGUCACACCAUGGGAGUGGGUUGCAAAAGAAGUAGGUAGCUUANCCUUCGGGAGGGCG